rnacentral:rRNA from 1 species
GUGGGGAAUAUUGGACAAUGGGGGGAACCCUGAUCCAGCCAUGCCGCGUGUGUGAAGAAGGCCUUUUGGUUGUAAAGCACUUUAAGCGAGGAGGAGGCUACCGAGAUUAAUACUCUUGGAUAGUGGACGUUACUCGCAGAAUAAGCACCGGCUAACUCUGUGCCAGCAGCCGCGGUAAUACAGAGGGUGCAAGCGUUAAUCGGAUUUACUGGGCGUAAAGCGCGAGUAGGUGGCCAAUUAAGUCAAAGGUGAAAUCCCCGAGCUUAACUUGGGAAUUGCAUUCGGUACUGGUUGGCUAGAGUAUGGGAGAGGAUGGUAGAAUUCCAGGUGUAGCGGUGAAAUGCGUAGAGAUCUGGAGGAAUACCGAUGGCGAAGGCAGCCAUCUGGCCUAAUACUGACACUGAGGUGCGAAAGCAUGGGGAGCAAACAGGAUUAGAAACCCUGGUAGUCC